rnacentral:tRNA from 1 species
UGUAAUUUAAUGUAUGAAGCAUAUUAGAAUUUUGAUUUCUUAAGAAUUAGUUUAACUCUAUUAAUUACAA